rnacentral:rRNA from 1 species
UCAAGUGGUCAGGAUGAUUAUUGGGCCUAAAGCAUCCGUAGCCGGCUCUGUAAGUUUUCGGUUAAAUCUGUACGCUUAACGUACAGGCUGCCGGGAAUACUGCAAAGCUAGGGAGUGGGAGAAGUAGACGGUACUCGGUAGGAAGKGGUAAAAUGCUUUGAUCUAUYGAUGACCACCUGUGGCGAAGGCGGUCUACYAGAACACGUCCGACGGUGAGGGAUGAAAGCUGGGGGAGCAAACCGGAUUAGAUACCCGGGUAGUCCCAGCUGUAAACUAUGCAAACUCAGUGAUGCAUUGGCUUGUGGCCAAUGCAGUGCUGCAGGGAAGCCGUUAAGUUUGCCGCCUGGGAAGUACGUACGCAAGUAUGAAACUUAUCAAGUGGUCAGGAUGAUUAUUGGGCCUAAAGCAUCCGUAGCCGGCUCUGUAAGUUUUCGGUUAAAUCUGUACGCUUAACGUACAGGCUGCCGGGAAUACUGCAAAGCUAGGGAGUGGGAGAAGUAGACGGUACUCGGUAGGAAGKGGUAAAAUGCUUUGAUCUAUYGAUGACCACCUGUGGCGAAGGCGGUCUACYAGAACACGUCCGACGGUGAGGGAUGAAAGCUGGGGGAGCAAACCGGAUUAGAUACCCGGGUAGUCCCAGCUGUAAACUAUGCAAACUCAGUGAUGCAUUGGCUUGUGGCCAAUGCAGUGCUGCAGGGAAGCCGUUAAGUUUGCCGCCUGGGAAGUACGUACGCAAGUAUGAAACUUA